ACGAACGCUGGCGGCGUGCCUAACACAUGCAAGUCGAACGGAACUUACCGAAUGAAGCUUUCGGGUGGAUUUUGAUAAGUUUAGUGGCGGACGGGUGAGUAACGCGUGAGUAACCUGCCUUCAAGAGGGGAAUAACGUUCUGAAAAGAACGCUAAUACCGCAUAACAUACGGAUGUCGCAUGGCAACCGUAUCAAAGAUUUUAUCGCUUGAAGAUGGACUCGCGUCCGAUUAGCCAGUUGGCGGGGUAACGGCCCACCAAAGCGACGAUCGGUAGCCGGACUGAGAGGUUGACCGGCCACAUUGGGACUGAGAUACGGCCCAGACUCCUACGGGAGGCAGCAGUGGGGAAUAUUGGGCAAUGGGCGCAAGCCUGACCCAGCAACGCCGCGUGAAGGAAGAAGGCUUUCGGGUUGUAAACUUCUUUUGUCGGGGACGAGUAGAAGACGGUACCUGGCGAAUAAGCCACGGCUAACUACGUGCCAGCAGCCGCGGUAAUACGUAGGGUGGCAAGCGUUGGUCCGGAUUUUACUGGGUGUAAAAGGGCGGUGUAGCCGGGGAAGGGAAGGUCAGA
rnacentral:rRNA from 1 species